AUUGAACGCUGGCGGCAGGCCUAACACAUGCAAGUCGAGCGGAUGAAGGGAGCUUGCUCCUGGAUUCAGCGGCAGACGGGUGAGUAAUGCCUAGGAAUCUGCCUGGUAGUGGGGGAUAAGGUCCGGAAACGGGCGCUAAUACCGCAUACGUCCUGAGGGAGAAAGUGGGGGAUCUUCGGACCUCACGCUAUCAGAUGAGCCUAGGUCGGAUUAGCUAGUUGGUGGGGUAAAGGCCUACCAAGGCGACGAUCCGUAACUGGUCUGAGAGGAUGAUCAGUCACACUGGAACUGAGACACGGUCCAGACCCCUACGGGAGGCAGCAGUGGGGAAUAUUGGACAAUGGGCGAAAGCCUGAUCCAGCCAUGCCGCGUGUGUGAAGAAGGUCUUCGGAUUGUAAAGCACUUUAAGUUGGGAGGAAGGGCAGUAAGUUAAUACCUUGCUGUUUUGACGUUACCAACAGAAUAAGCACCGGCUAACUUCGUG
rnacentral:rRNA from 1 species